rnacentral:rRNA from 1 species
CCUACGGGUGGCAGCAGUGAGGAAUAUUGGUCAAUGGCCGUAAGGCUGAACCAGCCAAGUAGCGUGAGGGAAGACUGCCCUAUGGGUUGUAAACCUCUUUUAUGCGGGGAUAAAGGUGUCCACGUGUGGAUGUUUGCAGGUACCGCAUGAAUAAGGACCGGCUAAUUCCGUGCCAGCAGCCGCGGUAAUACGGAAGGUCCGGGCGUUAUCCGGAUUUAUUGGGUUUAAAGGGAGCGUAGAUGGGUUGUUAAGUCAGUUGUGAAAGUUUGCGGCUCAACCGUAAAAUUGCAAUUGAUACUGGCAGUCUUGAGUACAGUUGAGGUAGGCGGAAUUCGUGGUGUAGCGGUGAAAUGCUUAGAUAUCACGAAGAACCCCGAUUGCGAAGGCAGCCUGCCGCAGCGUUACUGACGCUGAAGCUCGAAAGCGCGGGUAUCGAACAGGAUUAGAUACCCCAGUAGUC